GGAUAUUUUAAUAAACCAGUAAUAUUGCAACAGAAAUGAUAAAACAUAUCAAAAUAUAUAAUAUUGAAUGUCAAGUGAAUUAGUAUAAAGGUCAAUUGAGUAAUACAUAGCAAUCGGAAGUACAUCUCAAUUAAUUUACAUUGAAUACAAUAGGAUUUUCAUAAUGGUGAAAUAUUUAAGAGGGGUAUAAUUUCUGUGCUUAUUUCAGAAUAAAUAUAAAUUUGUUAGCAUAUAAAUAACUCUUAAAUUAGAUCUUUUGGUCAGAAUAAGUAUUAGAAAAUGGCAACAAUAAAACAUUGCCAAUUUGCAUCUAAUGUAUAAAUUUAAACUUCAUGAAAUUUAUUUUAGUAGUACAUUAAAGUUGAUAUUUCAAUUUUCUGGUAACUCAUAAGAAUAAUCAAAACUGAAAAUACUUAUCUGCUUAUUUGUCAGAGAUGAAGAUAUUUUCAGCUCACUAUUUUUCAAUAAAUAUUCAUUUUUAUUUCAUGUUUUUUAAUUUCAAACAUCUUUUUAAUCAAUAAAGUUCCUAUAAUUUCUUUCAACAAAUCUGACAAAAUUUUCUCCCAAAUAUCAUAAACAAUAUUAUAUUAAGCUAAUUUGAAGGCAGAAUGUUUCGAUUUGAAGCUAUUUACCAAAUACAUGUACAUAGUAUAAUCUAAUGAGUAUUUGGAAGCAUUAUAAAAUUUGUAUUUAACUCCUGAUUCAUUUAGGGGGUCUCUUCCAAUAUAAAGGUAUACACAGACAUGUGGCUGGUAUGGGUCACAUGUUCAGAAUGCCAAAUAAUUCAAACAUAUCAAUGGGGUGCAAAUUCACGAAGGUAAUAUAACAAUGGGUAGAAAAGUUUAUGUCAAUGGGUUUUAUUCAUCUUCUAUUGAGAUGUCUGUUAACCUCCAUCACUCUAUAUCAGUCAGUACCCCAAAUUUGAGUGUUGAGACCCCCCCCUUUGUGUCAUGAUCGAAUAUCGUAUUAAAAAAAUAUUUUAUAAAUGAUACAUAUCAGAAAAAGAAAGGUACACAAAUCCAAACUUUUAAUGCAAAUUGUAUAAAAUAUAAAUUAUCAAUACUUUAAAAUACAUGUAUAACAUUUCUAUUGACUGUAGAUGCUAUUUUUAAAACAUGUAUCAUCAUUAUACAUAUAAGAUGAAAUCCAGUGGCGGAUCAAGUAGGGGACCUGGGGGUUGGAGCCCCUUUUUUUUGGAUGAUCAAUGCAUUUGUAUGGGGAUAUAUAGUUUGAACCUCCCCCCUUUUUAAAUGGCUGGAUCCGCCCCUGAAAUCUAUCUGCCAUAUUGUUAAUAUUACCACAUUAAAAAUUAUAACAUAUUAAAGGUUAAACUUUCAGGCCAUUCAAAUUAAUGUUCUGUUGACAAAACUGUAACAUUAAGUAUUUUAAGAUAACAAAACUGAAAUUUCUUGCCUGUUUAAUUUAUCAUAACUGAGUAACAUGUGACAGUCUUUCAGAUAAAAGUCUUAUCACAUAUAAAGAAACAGAACUUUUUAUCAAAGAGCCAUAAAGUAAGUUCAAGGUCAGUUAAUUCAUGACAAAGACAUGAAUAUAGAGAUGGGAUAUAUGUCGAUGACACAGCAUCAAAAGGACAUUAAUACCUUAAAAGAUACAUAAAGAGCAAUUUGCAUGCUGCAAAAAAAAAAGAGACAGAUGUCUAUUCAAUAUGACAAGCUGGCAAUCACCAAGGUUUUGUAAACAAUUUGAAUAAUUGAACAGAAAUUAUGAAAGAUAUGCCUUCAAUACCAAAUUCUCCAAAAUAAAAACAAAAAAAGCCGACCAUUGAAGAGUUUCAUGACUUAGGAGAUUUUUUUUUCAGGUCACACAAGUUUUUGAGAUUUUAACUCCCCUUUUAAUAUCAAUUACUGGACUGUAAAGAAUAACCUGAAAAAUCAUACACUAUAAAUCAGGAAAAGAAAAGUACUCAACUUUCGAAUAACAGCAUUAAAGUUAACAAAACACAUGAAAACCUAAAAUUGAUUCUAUAGACCAUAUAGUUUGCCUAACAAUCAAGGUAGGUAAGAAAAAUUAAACUUUGAACCAUGAAUAAUGAGGUCAAGGUCAAGUCACCUCUAUUAGAGGAACAGUGUUCAUAUGGACUAGUUGACCUACUACUCAUUACAGUGUGAAACUGAUUGACGAUAUAAAUACUUAAUGCUGAUAAUUUAACCAAGAAAAGAUGUCAUGAAUCAAGUGUGUUCUCCCUGCCAGAAAGAAAGGCACACCUUACAACUAUGUUAUUGACCAUAUCACUUUUGGUGACAGAGAUAAGGACAUUAGCGCAGAUGUUAAAUUAUUGAGAUGCUAAAUUAUUGUAUCCUAUUUAAAAAAAAAAAUCAUGGUUAUCGAGUUAAUUAAUGUUAAUGUAAUUCAAAAUGUUUUUAUCAAAAUUAUAAUCUUCCAACACAACAAUAACCUGAUUUGAUUUAUAUAGAGGGACAAAAUCAUUAUUACCAAAUCAUGAGAAUUUGAAAAUAAGAAAAGUCAGAAAACAGAACCUUUAUUUUGAAAGGACCAAUACAGCACUAUUUUUUUUUGGUUUAAAUAUUUACAAAAUAACAUACAUAUACGUGCGGGCUGCCAGAAAAAAAAUAUGUGGGGUCUUUGAAGGUACUUGCAUAUAGACUUGAAUGAGUCAUUGAAUCUAGAUUGCAUGGGGCUUCUGAAGAAACCUUCAAAGAUCCCAGUGUACUUUUGUUUAUGAACAGCCCUUACUACAUGAAAUAUAUCAUAUUAACAUUUUGAGAUUCUUUGUUUAAUAAUUUCAUACAUAUGAUCCCUAAUAUUCCCUGAAUAUCACUUCUCCUACAGACAUUUCCUGAUACUUCAGUUAAAAUAUCCAAACUAAUACAUUUCUGACUAUCAAUUUAUAAGUUUAAUGUCCUAGAAGACACAUUAUUACCCUUCAUCUAAUUUUUAAUUAUAAACAUUCAAUACAAUGUGAGGGUGCUUUAACUGUUUAUUGACAAACAGCAAUUAAACACUUAAUUUUUUUUUCAAUUGCUAAUCAUGAAUUCCUGUAACAGGAAAAAUUAAUUGACACUGCACGCUUCAUAUGAAAUCAAACAUAAACUAUUAAAUUCAAAUUAUUAAUUAUAAUGUAUAACAGAGGUGUAUUUCUAGUUAGAAAUGUACAUAUCUCAUGCCUUCAUUGUUUAAUUUUUUUUCUUCUGUAGAAUUGAAAUCUGAAAACUGAUUAUAGAUAUUAGAGUGGGGGGGCCAUAUUCGCCCGGGACACAAUUUCGCCGUUUUAUGAUUUUGAGGUGUAAACACUUCAAAGGAUGGCUGAAAUGGAAGAAAUAUGCCGAUAAAUUGUACUUUUAUAACAAAUAUGAAUAUUUUUUAAACUUAAACAAAAUUACAGCACUUACUGCAAAAGAUCGAAAAACGGACAAAGAUUUUCGGUCAAUUUCCUGAAUGAAAAACAG
rnacentral:lncRNA from 1 species